AAAGCUAUCAUAUUCCUUACAAUAUUGCAACCCCAAAAAGAGAUUGUAAUAUGAGGAUGAUAUUGAAGUUUUGAUUCCAGUAAAACUUCCAUACCAAAAGAUGAGCUCUUGCAGAAGUAUAAUCUUCACGAGAGAUCGCUCAGUGGUGGAUGACGACGCUCAUGAGCCGAUGAAAACAGAGGAGAAACAAAACGCCACUCGUGCUUCAGCUCUUGAUACCAUACUCAAGGUUCUUGAUAUUCAAUAUAAGCUUAUCUUUCUUCCCCCCCAGACUACCAGUUG